AUGGGCGAUAACGAAAACGGAGAUAAUCUGAAUAAUCAUCAAGAUUCUGGAUCAGGAUCACAUCACGACGCGGCGCCCCAACAGCAACAGAACAAUAUGUCCCACCAACAGCAGCCGCAGCAGCAGCAGCACAAUGAGCACAAUAAGCAGCAGCAGCAACAGCGCGAUGACGUGUGCCGAGACUUUUUGAAAAACAUUUGCAAUCGCGGCUCGCGCUGUAAAUUUUAUCAUCCGUCCGAGGCGCCGCCAAUCAGCGAUCACGAUUACAAUUUCUGCAUUGACUAUCAGG
rnacentral:sRNA from 1 species